rnacentral:rRNA from 1 species
UACGAAGGGUGCAAGCGUUACUCGGAAUUACUGGGCGUAAAGCGUGCGUAGGUGGUUGGUUAAGUCUGAUGUGAAAGCCCUGGGCUCAACCUGGGAAUGGCAUUGGAUACUGGCGACCUAGAGUGCGGUAGAGGGGUGUGGAAUUCCCGGUGUAGCAGUGAAAUGCGUAGAUAUCGGGAGGAACAUCUGUGGCGAAGGCGACACCCUGGACCAGCACUGACACUGAGGCACGAAAGCGUGGGGAGCAAACAGG